rnacentral:lncRNA from 1 species
AAUCCAGAGGCCACCACCCUUCCCAACAAUCCAGUAACAACCCAGAGAUCACCACCCUUCCCAACAAUCCAGUAACAACCCAGAGGUCACCACCCUUCCCAACAAUCCAGUAACAAUCCAGAGGUCACCACCCCUUCCCAACAAUCCAGUAACAAUCCAGAGGUCACCACCCUUCCCAACAAUCCAGUAACAAUCCAGAGGUCACCACCCUUCCCAACAAUCCAGUAACAAUCCAGAGGUCACCACCCUUCCCAACAAUCCACUAACAAUCCAGAGGCCACCACCCUUCCCAACAAUCCACUAACAAUCCAGAGGUCACCACCCCUUCCCAACAAUCCAGUAACAAUCCAGAGGUCACCACCCUUCCCAACAAUCCAGUAACAACCCAGAGGUCACCACCCCUUCCCAACAAUCCAGUAACAAUCCAGAGGUCACCACCCUUCCCAACAAUCCAGUAACAAUCCAGAGGCCACCACCCUUCCCAACAAUCCAGUAACAAUCCAGAGGCCACCACCCUUCCCAACAAUCCGGCAAUGACCCAGAGGUCACCACCCUUCC